rnacentral:snRNA from 1 species
CUCGCUUCUUGGCCUUUUGGCUAAGAUCAAGUGUAGUAUCUGUUCUUAUCAAUUUAAAUUAAGCCAACUAAACACAAGGCCUAAAUGAUUCUUAGAGUUUAGAUAGUUUUUGCCAGUAUCAUUCCUU